rnacentral:lncRNA from 1 species
AGAAAUAUAAAUCCACAAUUCACAAAUAGUCCACAAUUCACAAGUAGUCCAUUACAACAUCCGAGAGUUCACAAAUAGUCCAUACUACAUAAAAUUCACAAAUAGUCCAUUACAACGCACAAUUCGGCACAAAUCAUAAACCAUCACAUAUCGGGGUCGUUGGAGUUGUGUCCACUACCUCCAGAAGCGAAAACCUGGUUGACGAAGUCGUGUGACGGGUUUGGAUUCUAAAUAAAAAAGAAGAUAUUAAUAGCCGCAUUGGUUACAUGUAUGACGACUAUUCAAACAAAUUGUUUCUCAAACUAACCUCUCCUGGAGUAGCU